UAUACGCUUGUGAAUCAUGAGUGUCGUACUUACUACAACUAUGGGCCAAACCGGCACACUUCCUUCGACCGAAUCCCAUCGAAUUUCUCAAAAUCAAAUUCAGUCUGAAGAAGCUAUCGAACCCACACGAAACUACAUUCAGCAGCAUGCGUGAUAUUCGAAAACUUCGAUCAUCUUCAAUUUCUGAAUAUGAAUUGAAUUCCAAAUGCAAAUGCUAGACCUUUGAUUGAUUGUAUUGCAUUUAGCAACACAGGUUAUGGCAGUCAAAGUUGCAUUAUCUUCACGUGAUCAGAAUCAAAUAGAAUCAGUUAUGGCCAGACCUCUGAAGGGCCAGGCUUUUCCGACUCCAGAUAGGGGGGGUUGAACUUGUUCAGAAGGUAGGUAACAAGUAUUAUGCACAUUAUUUAUUUAUUAGGCAAAGGAAUUUUACAUGUUUAUUCAUUAUUCGAAUUUGGUCAAAAAAAAAAAAAAAAGCUUUAUCAUAUUUGCAGUUUCUUUAAUGUCUCGCUGCAAAACUUAUUUGCAUGGCUUA